GUUUGAUCCUGGCUCAGAUUGAACGCUGGCGGCAGGCCUAACACAUGCAAGUCGAACGGUAACAUUUCUAGCUUGCUAGAAGAUGACGAGUGGCGGACGGGUGAGUAAUACUUAGGAAUAUGCCUUUGUGUGGGGGAUAACCAUUGGAAACGAUGGCUAAUACCGCAUAACGUCUUCGGACCAAAGGGGGCCUUGGCUCCCGCGCAAAGAGUAGCCUAAGCGAGAUUAGCUUGUUGGUGAGGUAAAGGCUCACCAAGGCGACGAUCUCUAGCUGUUCUGAGAGGAAGAUCAGCCACACUGGAACUGAGACACGGUCCAGACUCCUACGGGAGGCAGCAGUGGGGAAUAUUGCACAAUGGGGGAAACCCUGAUGCAGCCAUGCCGCGUGUGUGAAGAAGGCCUUCGGGUUGUAAAGCACUUUCAGUUGUGAGGAAAGGUUAACGGUUAAUACCCGUUAGCUGUGACGUUAGCAACAGAAGAAGGACCGGCUAACUCCGUGCCAGCAGCCGCGGUAAUACGGAGGGUCCGAGCGUUAAUCGGAAUUACUGGGCGUAAAGCGCACGCAGGCGGUUUGUUAAGCUAGAUGUGAAAGCCCUGGGCUCAACCUGGGAAUUGCAUUUAGAACUGGCAGGCUAGAGUUUUGGAGAGGGGAGUGGAAUUCCAGGUGUAGCGGUGAAAUGCGUAGAUAUCUGGAGGAACAUCAGUGGCGAAGGCGACUCCCUGGUCAGUAACUGACGCUCAUGUGCGAAAGUGUGGGUAGCGAACAGGAUUAGAUACCCUGGUAGUCCACACCGUAAACGCUGUCUACUAGCUGUUUGUGGAUUUAAUCCGUGAGUAGCGAAGCUAACGCGAUAAGUAGACCGCCUGGGGAGUACGGCCGCAAGGUUAAAACUCAAAUGAAUUGACGGGGGCCCGCACAAGCGGUGGAGCAUGUGGUUUA
rnacentral:rRNA from 1 species